GGGGGCGCUAACGCCUCGGUCUUCGAGCGGGACCACUCCGCCAGGCCCGCCCCGGGCGCCCCUCCACCUCUGCACCCCGGAGGAACUGCUUGGCAGUUCCCAGGGCCUCGCACGCUCUGCUCUCAAGGGCCAAGGAGGGUCCCCCCAGGGAACCGGCCUGAGCGGCGGCGUGUGGAGCCGCCCACGGCCUUCAAGUGUGGAGAGGCGACGCUGCCUGAGCCACAGGCCUUGGUGCCGACCCGCGAGCGGUGCAAGAACCCCCUUGGGCAGGAGGCGAACACAGGAGCUCCUGUCUCCCGCAUCACCCAUACCUGCCACACAUUUUUCAGGUUUCACAGAGAAAAACACGCUCUGUAUCAACUUUGACGAGGACAUGAACACACUCAUUUAACCUGGACUCCGUUGAGCGCCUGCUCUGUUUCAGGCUAGGUGGAUGGCACCCAAACCUCUCACCCCCUGCCCACAGCGGCCACCUAGGGAAAAGGCGGGAACAGGCUCACACCUGCACGCACCAACACAAGGAGCAAGCACACACGGACACACACUCAUGCCCUCAGACCUCCUACCGCACGAAAACCUAUGCAAGACACACACAAACUCACGUCCGCACGCACAUCACUCUGGUCCCAGGAGCACGAAAAUCCACAGCCGCUCACCGGUGCCACUGCUAGCAGCAGUCCCUGUCGGUUGACCUGCCGGGAAAGCCUGGGCACCCAGAAAGAGAGGGGGCUGCCGCCCCAGGCUGCAGCGGGUGCUGCUGAGGUGGGGUUCUUAGAGCGCGCCCGGAGCCCUCGCGCGCCAGUAGGGGGCAGGGUUCCAGUCCCACCCCGGUUUCGUUCCGGAGAGUGUAUCCCGCCUUGGCAGCGCGCCUUGCAACUUCCUUCUUUCGUUCUCCCUUAGAAGGUGAACCCCAAAAAUAUGUCUCCGGGGUGGGGAGCGUUGCACAGAAGUUCUGAAAAAGUCUGAGCCGCUACUUGUCCAAUGGGUAAAUCCAUGCGAGCCAGUCCUCCAUUCCACACUCGGCCAGACUGAGUUGCUUCGCGCACUGGGGCGCCGCCGACCCCCGCGCAGGGACCCCAGUGGUUGUCAUCCCUUCCCGGCCUCCUCCCUGCACAGCCGUGGAAGCCGGGCGUUCUGAUCCCGGGCUUAAAGCGGCGCAGAGACAGGAAGCACCGCCAGUCCCUGAGAAUCCCCCUUUCUGCUCCUUUGACCACGUCCGUCACGAGACGCCCUUCUUUUGUCCUCAGCCAGGCCCCACGCCCACGUAGCAGUCCGUGGGAGCAGCCGGCUGCACGCGAGAAAGGAGACCUGCUGGGGGCAUCAAAGCCCAGGGCGUCCGCAGAGCGUCAGCUCCUGUCUCCUCCACCCCAGCCGGCGACCUUGGCCCUCUCGAGGACAGAAGACACUCGUGUCCCCACCCGGGGUGCGUCUUCAGAGAGUGGCAGGCUCGCCCGGGGAGCAGGGAAAAGUUAAACGCAUCUGAGGAGAGAAAAGCGGGCAGCCCAGCCGUCGGUGGAAACAACGAUUUCGGUUUCUGGGGAAAGCAGGGACCUGCCGGGUGUGGACUUCGUAUUCAGAGACAGAGAACGGAACUCCCACGACCCCACCGGCGCCCACCUCCUGUUCCGGUGCUGCUGGGACAACGAAAGGAAGGGUGAAUGUUGUGCGUCGAGGAACAGGUGCGGAAGGGCUGGGAAAGGAUUGGGUCCCUUCCUUUUUUUUUUUUUUUUCCUUUCUCCCGCGCUAUGUCAUCAGUGUUCUGGGUUCUCACAGCUGCCUAGGGGACGCAGAAGGCGACCGCGACCCAGCGCGUGAGGACGUAGGGUGGGAGAAGGAGCGCGGGGGGAGCGGCGUGCGGCGACGUAGGGGAACCGCGCGCCCCAGAAGGUGCGGGCUGCGCGCCUGGGGGUGGGGGGCGGCGGUGAGCGCCGUGGCGAGCUGCGCUGGAGGAGCACGCGCCUCCCCUCUUGCGUCGCCUGCGCCCGCCCUGGCGGCAGGUGGUCCGCGAUUCUGGGCCGCUGCUGCCGCGGACCCGGUGACAGCUAGGAAGGAAAGAGGGGCUCGAGAUGGCCGCGGUCGGGCGCCGGGCGAUGGAACUCAUCCUGGUCCCAAAAGACCGUGCGUCCCAGGGUCAGGGUCAAGGCCCUAAGUGCCGUCUCCCCGGGGUCUUUUCUCCAAGUCCCGCCGGUGCCGCUGCUAGUAGUACCGAAAUGGUUUGUCCUGGGUGGCGGGGUGUAGAUGGGCUGGGUGCUCUCUAGUGAGUUUUCCGCUGCUCAAUCCGGCGGUGGAUGCCUGCCUGCUCGGGGCCGCCCCGCAGUGGAGAGAGAUUUUCGGCGUGGACGGUCCAGAAGAAGGUCGGAGAGGCGCCCCAGAGGUUCUGUUUCUUGGAGGGACUCACAAACCCGAGCCCGACUUCAGGGAAGAGGCGUGGAGAGAGGCUUUCUUUAGGACGCUUACAACCGUUGACCCUGCCGGGGCUAAGUUUCGAGCCACCAGAGGCCCAGCGUACGCCUAGCGCCACGCGUGCUCUCGGCCGGAGAAAGAGGGGGAAACCCCGCCUGGACCCCAGGACUCCGGCCGGGAAGUUCCGCUCGCGCUCGGCGCCGGGCAGCAGCCACCCGGCCCCCGCCCCGAGGCGGGCCGCGCUCUGGGGGCAAAGGCGCGCGCCGCUCGGGGUAAAUAGACUCUGGCCUGAGGGCGGGGAAGCUCUGUUCCCGCCACCGGUGGAGCCGGGCUACGUGGCAUUGCACAGAAGCCUCGGAGUCGCAGCUUGCGAAGCCACGCAGGCCACAAAGCCAUCCGCAACCUUGUCGUUUCUACAGCCAUCGUAGCUCCGGGGCCUCCACCUCUGCGCUCUGGGGCACCCUGGCCCUACAGGCCCUCCUCUGGGACCCUGGGGCUCCGGGCAGGGGAGCGCUGCCUCCGCGGCUUGGUCCGCCCGAGGUCCUGCGGAGUGACCAGCCCUCGGGACAGGGCCAGAGCGGCCCCUGCGAAGCUGCCGGCCUUUACUCCCUCCCUCCAAAGGCGCACGUGUCUGUCCGUCAGGCCAGGGGCUCUCAAGCCCUCCAAAGCGCUUCGUUGGCAGCGUUACCCGGGGCGGGGGAGACGCUGCGCCGUGGUGACUUUUCCGGUCCCUGGGAUCACAGGUCGUGCCUAUCCCUCACGAGCGUCUGGUAGCUGCACAUCUGUCGUCUGUCUAAUCCGAACCAAGGCGCUGUGUGGGCGAAACUGCGGAGCCAGGUUCGGGAAACGCUGGGGUCCUUCCCAUUGCGGCGGCAAUGCCGGCGCUUGGCCUUGCUUCCUGCAGCCUCGUAGAGCGCCUGCGCUUCCCAGGCCGCCGGCGGCCGCAAGCGCGCUGUUCAAGGGCGGUGAAGGCGGGCGGUUGUGGCUGUCCUGCGGGUCGGGGACUACCAUGGCCAGCGUGAGAGCCAGUGGCCGGAGUUGGAGGCGGGGCCCUCACUGAUGAGUUGACGUCCGGUGAGGUUCUCUCCGCAGUAUUUCGGAUAAUUAUUGAAUUCCUUCACUUGCCUUCUACUGUGUAGACGUGACCCACGGUCAGUGCCGGUUACUCUGGAAUACAGAUGGCACGCUGGGGAGGCCAGGGUCCGCUGCUGCCUCUGCCACCGCCUGCCUCUUAGCUCUCCAUCCCCUCCUGGCCUCUCUGCUCAGGAAACUGAGGCCCCCAGGGGCUGACUUGAGGCCCUGGGUCAUUUCGUUCCAUUCUCGCCGGUUUACCGCUGGAGUUCGAGGGCCCCAGGGAGGGAGGAGGCGGUCAGUCCCUGCUCUCCAAAGACCAGAACGGAGCUGCCCCCUGCCACGCCCCUCCCCCCAGGCCCUACUGGAAGCCCUCACCUCCUACCCUACCUGCAGAGAGAGCGGCACAAGCUCAGGUGAUGCUGUCCAUUUCAAGGUAGGGUCUCUGCCCUCUGCCUUAUUGCUCUGAAUCAAAGUCCUCAGACACCUUGGAAAGUUACCCUGAGACACCUGAACCGAUGAUGAAGAAGGUGACAGGCUGCGACCCACGGAAGUGAGCUAAUGGACAGUGGCUGAAGCCAGGCUUAAGAAAGCAAACCAGCAAGGGUGAGUCAUUUUCCUUUCUCCUUCCAAGGAAUGAGCCUUGGACCUAAUGGGGCAACAGAGGGAAGCCAGAGGAAAUUAGAAAAGCAGAGAAGCUGUGGUGGAGGGGUUUAUAGAAGCAAAGUAACAUUUAGAUAGCUCCUAGCAUGUAUGUGAUACUUUGCAGAAUGCUGAUGGUUUCACAAACUUCCUAUUUACCAUCCACAGUGACGUAAGCAGGCAGAGGAGAAAAGCAGACUCUGGAUGUUGUUAGGUGUGGUUGCCAAGCUCCCAGGAGCCAGCGGAGGCUCCUUCUUCUACGUUCCACUAUGAAAGUGACUUGCUGGGUUUUCAGGAAGUAGCAGCUACCCAACCAGCCCGAGGAGUGAAGACUGCUCCCCUGGGGAUGGAAGUGGCAGUUGUUGUGGGGGGUCUCGGUGGUGCUACAGAGACUUACAUGUACCUCAAAAUCAGAACAAUCUGCCUUAAAAGUAACUGAAUGGCCGAGGCCACCUCAUACAGGACAAGCUUGGAGAAGUAUCAGAAGUGCUUUUUCCUCUCUUAUUGGACGCAACACCUGUCCAUUAAGGAGCUCAGCAAAUGAGCCGGGAGCCAGAGCUUCCUUUAGAAAGUGAAGAAUUUUGUGGGCAGUACCUAAAGGGACUGUAGGUUUUUUAACAGGAGAAAGUGGGGUGGGGGGACUCAGUACCUGCUUUACUCUGAAAGACAAGACCCUGAUGCCCGAGACCCUGAUGUUGGAGACCCUGAUGUCCAUUUGGAGCCUUUGACUCCCUUGUGGCAUGCAUUUGUUAUUUUUUAAAGGAGUAGGGCAGCAGUCACCCUGAGGGCACAUAAUAUUUCAGAGGCAGAAACAGGGAACAGUGUUAGGGACAGAGUGAGAGCAAGAGAAGGUCUCAGAGACGGGGGAAGGAGGUGAGAGUGCCGGAUGGUGGCGCCCAGACACAACCUCUAGGGGCAGGCAGGUGUCCCUAGAGACCAGGAAUCAGGAGCCAGGGAAGGCACAAACAAGUAGUCCCACAACACCCAGAGGCAACUAGGGUGGAUCAGGGACCAAGCUGGAGAUCAGGAAAGACCAAAACCCACUGUAUCUCAUAGCUUUGCCAACAAAAGCCUUGGGUUCAAAGUCUACUCAGCAGAGGCAAGCUUCCUACCCAGAAGGAGCUGGGGCAAAGAGGAGCAAGACACGAGGCCGUAUUGGGGUUCCUAUAACAAAAUACGUUCCGAAACAUGAGCUUACCUCCUGCUCACAUCCAGUACACUAACAGUGCUUCUGGUGAGCAGGCGGUUUCCCACAGGUGACUCAAGGGCCAGCUCCUUCUCUGGGUGGCUCUCUCCUCAUCUGGGACCUUACAGUCCCUUGCAUUGAGCUGCUGAGUAAGGAGAUUGGAAGGUGGGAUGGGAGGCGUGGGUGUUGGGUAGGUUUGGAGGUGCCACACAACAUUUUGGAUGGAGCUUAGCUUCAUGACCAACCCAACUGCAAUGGAGCCACCUGUGUGACCAGAAUAAUAUCCCAGGAGUGGGAUUGAUUGAGGGUCUCUAUGUGAAGAGCUAGUCAGUGCUCAGUGACCUUUAGAAGAAAGGGGUCUCAGCUGGCGCCGUGGCUCAAUAGGCUAAUCCUCUGCCUUGCGGCGCUGGCACACCGGGUUCUAGUCCCGGCCGAGGUGCCGGAUUCUGUCCCGGUUGCCCCUCUUCCAGGCCAGCUCUCUGCUGUGGCCAGGGAAGGCAGUGGAGGAUGGCCCAAGUGCUUGGGCCCUGCACCCCAUGGGAGACCAGGGGAAGCACCUGGCUCCUGCCUUCGGAUCAGCGCGGUGCGCCAGCCGCAGCGCGGUGGCCAUUGGAGGGUGAACCAACGGCAAAAGGAAGACCUUUCUCUCUGUCUCUCUCUCUCACUGUCCACUCUGCCUGUCAAAAAAAUUUUUUUUUAAAUUAAAAAAAAAAAAAAAAGAAGAAAGGGGUCUGUGCCCCAUCAACUUUCUCUUUUCUAUGCAUGUGGAUUUUGGUUUUGCCACUGGUUUUGCUACUCUGGUGUUUGUGGAGUGUGUUUUGUUUUGUUUGCUCAUCUGUUUUUCCAUAGUGAGGAAUAUAUGUGGAGAUAUUACUCUUACAAUAUAGGCCAAAAGUCGCUUCUUUUCUCUGGGUCAGUUUCUUCUGUCUUGCAGUAUAUUAAUAUGGGCGAGGGCUGCCUGGAAGUGAUGAAAAUGGUUUAAGCAAAAGAGAAGAGUAUUUCUUUCACACCUUUAAAUCAUUUUUAUUUUAUCUUUUAAGUUUAUUUAUUUGAAAGACAGAGGUGAGGGGGUGGGGAGAGAGAGCUCUUCUGUCUGCUGUUUCUCUCCCCAGAUGCUGCAACAGCCGGGGCGAGGCCAGGCCAAGGCCAGGAGCCAGGAGCUCCCUCUGUGUCUCCCAUGAAGGUGGCGGGGACUCAGUACUGAGCAUCGUCUGCUGCCUCCCAGACGCACUAGCAGGCAGCCUGAGCCAGCACUGCAAUACGGAGUUCCUGGCUUCAGGAUUUGGCCUGGUCCAGCAGUGACUGGUGCAGUCAUUUGGGGAGUGAACCAGAGGAUAGAAGAUACUUUUCUCUGUCUGCCUUUAUGUCUUUCGAAUCAAUCAGUCAAUCAUUUUCUCUUAAAAGUCAGGGUAGGCAAUAUAGCAUUGGUAUAAAGUCAAGGUCUUCCUACUUUGUAGCUCCACUAUACCUGAUCACAAUCUCAUGGCGGCAGGAUGGAGGAAGGAUUGAAGAGAUCAAGCCAGGUACACAGCACCUCUUAGGAAAGAUUCUUAGAGGGGUGAGAAUUUGGCCUACAGGUUAAGACACAGGGUGAGAUGCCAGGAAUCGACAUCACAAUGCCUGGGCUUCAUUCCAGCCCCGGCUCCUGACUCCAGCUUCCUGCUAAUCCAGACCCUGGGAGGCUGCAGUGGUGACUGUGACUGUGUUCCUGCCACCCAAAUGGCUUUGUGACUUCAUCGAGGUCAUCUGGGGAAUGAACCAGCAGGUGCGAGCUGGCACUCUCUCUCCCCACCCUGACUUCUCAAAUAGAUAAUUUUAAAAAGGGAUUCUAGAGCAGACAACAUCUCUUUGGAUGGAAUGUGACCACAGGAUGACACGGCACUGCCAGACAGAUCUGUGCAGGGUAGGUUUAUUGCAGGGCAACUAAAAUCCAGGGAUUCUCUUCAUGCAGGAAAAGGGGAGAAUGGAUAUUGGAGGACAUUGGAUUUACACGCGUAAGGAUUUGGACUUGGUGAUCACCAAGGACCUUUUCCUAUGUUCCGCAUUUCUGCAAAAACAAAAACAAGAACAACAAAAGCGACCACCAACUGUCCCUGGGAUGUAGUAGUAAGUCUGAUCAUUGCUAUUUCUCAAGACACAGAAGAAUUACAUGACAGUGCAAAGUACUGCCCGAGGCAAGGAAGUGGAGCCAGCUGACAAGCUACACCUCCUACUCCCACACCAGUGCUGUCCCACGAAAGAGCAUUAGGCAAAGGCAGUUUGCACCACAGGCUGGGAACCAGGCUAAAGAACAUUUCCAAAGCCCUAGAUGAAUUUGUCAGAACUCAGGGGGCUUCCAGAGAUGUUCCCGCUUUGGUCCGGCCUUUUCUUGGGCUGGCUGAGCUGGCAGAGAAGAGAGAGUUGGCUUUACCCUCUUGCCAGGCUAUUCGUAUCUCCCUUUCGGGACCUGGAAGUUUGUUGAUUUGCAGAUGACACUGUGCCGUCCUAGUUGUGAGGGCCCAAGCAGAUGACACGAGUUCAGGAAGAGCUCACGAAAGCUCUGAGUGGACGGGCCAGGGCCAGGUGAAGCGAAGCGCAUGACCCACAGACUGGGGCUGUGAAAUCUGUGGUCUGGGAGCUGAAGAUAAAGGCACAGGGAUUGCUGUUAGCUAUUGCCCAAAGACAGUGGCUAAUGAGCUGGUGUGGUCAAGCUCACUGCCAUCCGUCGCACGUUCGUCAGGACACUAAGAGGUGCCAAGCUUCACGCCUAGUUCCCAUUUGCAAACAGGCGUGCGACGUGCAUCUGAGGGGCACACAGCCUCGUUCCAGGAGUCCACAGGAAGGAGUUUGGAAAUAUUCUCCUUCCUCGCUCUCCAGAACACUGUGUGCAGCGUGGAUCACCGUGCUCAGGGGAAGCUGCAACAGAGCUGGAAAAGUUCCAAAGAAGAGGUGGAGCGAGAGGGCAAGGGUCUGCCACAGUGCCCUGGUCACACGGAUAACAGUGUCACUCUGACCCCAGCUCACAUGUCACCUCCACCGUGAAGCCCUGCCCGGUUAGCUCCCCAGGAAGGACUGACUUACGCUUGCUUGAGGGUCCCACAGGACUUUAUAAGCAGUUCUGGCAUGAUGUUUUAUUCUAAUCACAUUUUCUUUUUAACCUAGAUUCCUUUUUAAAAUACAUAAAGGCAAAGACUUUAUAUCUUCAGCACAGUAUGUAUGUGCACAUACGACAUGCCUAAUAAAUUUUGGCAAAAUUA